rnacentral:lncRNA from 1 species
GUCACUCUGGUGGUCACUCUAGUGGUCACCCUAGUGGUCAUUCCAGUGGUGGUCAGUCCACUGGUGGUCACUCUAGUGGUCACUGUGGUGGUGGUCACUCUAGUGGUGGUCACUCCGGUGGUCACUCCGGUGGUCACUCCAGUGGUGGUCACUCCACUGGUGGCCACUCUGGUGGUCACACUGGUGGUCACUGCAGUGGUCACUCUGGUGGUCACUCCGGUGGUCACUCCAGUGGUGGUCACUCUGGUGGUCACUCUGGUGGUCACUCUGGUGGUCACUCCGGUGGUCACUCUGGUGGUCACUGGUGGUCACUCCGGUGGUCACUCCAGUGGUCACUCUGGUGGUGGUCAGUCCCCGCCGGACGCGGGGGGUGGUGGGAAAUAAACGCCGGCCUGAGCCCGGCUACGGCCACUGGGUGGUCAGUGGUCAUUCAAGGGGUCACUGGGUGGUCAGUGGUCACUCAAGGGGUCACUGGGUGGUCAGUGGUCAUUCAAGGGGUGGUCAGUGGUCACUCAAGGGGUCACUGGGUGGUCAGUGGUCACUCAAGGGGUCA